rnacentral:rRNA from 1 species
UACAGAGGGGGCAAGCGUUGUUCGGAAUUACUGGGCGUAAAGGGCGCGUAGGCGGCCCACUAAGUCGAACGUGAAAUCCCCGGGCUCAACCCGGGAACUGCGUCCGAUACUGGUGGGCUUGAAUCCGGGAGAGGGAUGCGGAAUUCCAGGUGUAGCGGUGAAAUGCGCAGAUAUCAGGAAGAACACCCGUGGCGAAGGCGGUUCUCUGGGACGGUACUGACGCUGAGACGCGAAAGCGUGGGGAGCGAACAGG